ensembl:lincRNA
AUGGGACAAAAGGCAGCCUGUGGCUUGGGGGUGGGGGUGGAUGGUAAGGGGAGGAGGCAGAAACCAAAGCAUGUAGGGGGCUUGGCACCUGUGCCGAAGCCUGGUCACAGUGGCUCACUGGGAAUAAUUGCUGUGGUAAUUAUGAAGAUUGCGCAGGCAAAUGGAUUCCACUUUACAUUCUGCUCCCUUGCAAAGGUCAUCCGUAAUUGCCUGACUUCCUCCCCGUGGCGGGUAGGAGGCUGUGGUGGGGGCCCUCCCCCGGGAAGGGGGGGGGGGGGGGGCAUGGAAUCCCUGACUCCUAACACACUACUUGUGCUUGAUCUGCCCUCUGCAAGGAGCUCCCCUCUCCAACGUGUACAGAAACGCUUUGCUCUUGGGAGGGGAGUCAACGUGCUUGAGACAGUCACAUUGCCUUACAAGCAACAGGAGGAGCAGGAUGCCUCUGGCAGAGCCGGACUCACAAAUGGCGACCUACGAAAGCCCCUGCUGAACAAAGGCAGGCAGCCCCUCCUGGACAAUGGGGAAGGUGCACCAGGUGCAGGGCCGACGAGGAAGCCAGGAAACCAGGGGAUGUACAGCCUCCCACGAUCCUGCCAGCAACAGCUGGAGAUGUGCUGUUUUGAGGGCUGGGCGUGUGUGGGCUCCAGGGUGGCCAUGUCCCAGGAGGUUGGCACCAACAGUAGUGGCAAUCUGGGCCUAACAGGGCCCUCAGACAGAAAGUCAUGGUGAGCCCCUGGCUUGAGCCAGUGAUAGCCUGGGCACCCAAUGGGGACUCCCCUCUGUUCUGCUCAGGAAUGGGGCACUCAUGUGCACUGAAAACGGCUGCUCCAGUGUGAGCCUUAGUCCUAUCCCAGCCCCAGCUGCCAGACCUUCUCAGCGGGUUGGCUCCACCCUCCCCCAGCACGUUUCCAGUGCACCAAAGUGUUUCCCCCUUUGUUUUUUGAGAGGUGGGGAGGUGAAGGAGGAAUUUCAUACAAGCUUUUCUCCCACAAUCAAGCUUUAAAAAACAACAGUCUCAGAAGAGGAUGAGGAGGAACAAACAACACACAUUUUUGGAACUCAGACACCCAGACAGAGACAGACAGGCAGGCAGACCCUCACCCACACCCAGGCUAUAUGACCCCUUGCAGCCGCUCAUCACCUGGCCUCCCUGCUGGUCUCACACCCCCGAGAUGGUGGAGGUGUGGGAACAGGCCGGUGACCUGGCAACCGCACCCUAGAUCCACAUCCCCGGCUAGCAAACCAACCAAGACUCAAGGGAAGGAGGGGGUGAGAAGAAAAGAGAAGAGGGACUUUGCAUAUUCUUGUAUCUUUGGCAGACAGCUGUUCUAGCCUGAUUCAAGCUUCCCAUAGAGAGGUCCACAGCUCAACCUGCUUGCAAUCCACAGGAUGCUGGUGGGGCCACGUGCCCAAGCGGGCAGCCAGCCAAGCAGCGUCUGCUCCAGCUGGGCUGCCCCUCGCCCACUGCCGCCCACUAGCCAAGCAUCCUGCUCAGGGUCGGGGGGAUCUCAUUUCAUCACACUGCAGUCUCCAAAAUCACAGUCAGUAACUGCGGCCCCUCCCCAGGGCCAACUUCCUGCUUGGGGCUGUAUUUCCAUACCUUAACAGCUCAGCCUCCACUAACAGGCUGUGAAAAUACCGCAAAGGACAAGGGGCGGGAAACACAGGGAAGGGAGUUGUGUCACAACAGAGAAGCCUGGACACCUUUCCACCUGCCCGCUGCACACUUGCUGGUGAGCUGCACCAACACCCAUGUGCGAGCACGUGGCACACGCAUGUUACGCAGCCCAGAGGCACUGUUCCCAGAGUGAAUGGGGAGCCACUGUGUAUGAAGAAUCCAAAAGAGCAGUAAGCGUGAUGGCAUUCCUCUCUGCCAAGAGAAACACGGAAGAAAAGCAAUCUGAGUUGUCGUAAGUGUGUGCAGAAGGACACCUCUCGGCCUCAGAAACUUCCAUGUCGCCCAAGAUCUGUCUUCAAGGCUUCCUCUGCUGGCCACACAGGGAAGUUGGGUCUUCAGAGAGGUUCUGAUGGUAGCAAGCCACAGGGGUUGACAGAUACAAAUGUCCAAGGUGUAAAUCAACAGAAGAUUAAAGAGAAAAGGAGGAAAAGGGUGAUAACUCAUUGGCUGAUGCCAUUACAGACAAAUGGGGUCCGAGACUGCUGGAGCCGGGCAGCACGUGCUGCCCUCCUGCAGCAUGGGCCNNNNNNNNNNNNNNNNNNNNNNNNNNNNNNNNNNNNNNNNNNNNNNNNNNNNNNNNNNNN